rnacentral:rRNA from 1 species
CGAGGAGCUUGCUCCUCUGAUCAGUGGCGAACGGGUGAGUAACACGUGAGCAACCUGCCCCAGACUCUGGGAUAACAGUUGGAAACAGCUGCUAAUACCGGAUACGAGACGGAGAGGCAUCUCUACCGUCUGGAAAGUUUUUCGGUCUGGGAUGGACUCGCGGCCUAUCAGCUAGUUGGUGAGGUAAUGGCUCACCAAGGCGACGACGGGUAGCCGGCCUGAGAGGGCGACCGGCCACACUGGGACUGAGACACGGCCCAGACUCCUACGGGAGGCAGCAGUGGGGAAUAUUGCACAAUGGGCGAAAGCCUGAUGCAGCGACGCCGCGUGAGGGAUGACGGCCUUCGGGUUGUAAACCUCUUUCAGCAGGGAAGAAGCGAAAGUGACGGUACCUGCAGAAGAAGCACCGGCUAACUACGUGCCAGCAGCCGCGGUAAUACGUAGGGUGCGAGCGUUGUCCGGAAUUAUUGGGCGUAAAGAGCUUGUAGGCGGUUUGUCGCGUCUGCAGUGAAGAUCCGAGGCUCAACCUCGGACUUGCUGUGGGUACGGGCAGACUAGAGUAUGGUAGGGGAGACCGGAAUUCCUGGUGUAGCGGUGGAAUGCGCAGAUAUCAGAGGAACACCGAUGGCGAAAGCAGGUCUCUGGGCCAUAACUGACGCU